rnacentral:rRNA from 1 species
GUGCAGCAGGCGAGAAACUUCACAAUGUGCGAAAGCACGAUGAGGGAAUCCCAAGUGCUUGCACGUAAGUGUAAGCUGUUUCUCUGUCUAAAACGCAGAGAGAGUAAGGGCUGGGUAAGACGGGUGCCAGCCGCCGCGGUAAUACCUGCAGCUCGAGUGGUGACCGUUAUUAUUGGGCCUAAAACGUCCGUAGCCGGUUUAAUAAAUGCCUGGGUAAAUCGGACCGCUUAACGGUUCGAAUUCCGGGUAGACUGUUAAACUUGAGACCGGGAGAAGUUAGAGGUACUCCUGGGGUAGAGGUGAAAUUCUGUAAUCCUAGGGGGACCACCAGUGGCGAAGGCGUCUAACUAGAACGGGUCUGACGGUGAGGGACGAAG